rnacentral:rRNA from 1 species
GGCGGCAGGCCUAACACAUGCAAGUCGGAACGGUAACAGGAAGAAGCUUGCUUUCUUUGCUGACGAGGUGGCGGGACGGGUGAGUAAUGUCGUAGGGAAACUGCCUGAUGGGAGGGGGAUAACUACUAGGAAACGGUAGCUAAUACCGCAUAACGUCGACAAGAACCGAAAAAGGGGGACCUUCGGGCCUCUUGCCAUCGGAUGUGCCCAGAUGGGAUUAGCUAGUAGGUGGGGUAACGGCUCACCUAGGCGACGAUCCCUAGCUGGUCUGAGAGGAUGACCAGCCACACUGGAACUGAGACACGGUCCAGACUCCUACGGGAGGCAGCAGUGGGGAAUAUUGCACAAUGGGCGCAAGCCUGAUGCAGCCAUGCCGCGUGUAUGAAGAAGGCCUUCGGGUUGUAAAGUACUUUCAGCGGGGAGGAAGGGAGUAAAGUUAAUACCUUUGCUCAUUGACGUUACCCGCAGAAGAAGCACCGGCUAACUCCGUG